rnacentral:rRNA from 1 species
UACGUAGGGACCAAGCGUUGUCCGGAAUCAUUGGGCGUAAAGCGCGCGUAGGUGGCUUCGUAAGUCCGUUGUGAAAGUCAAAGGCUCAACCUUUGAAAGCCGAUGGAUACUGCGGAGCUAGAGUACGGAAGAGGCGAGUGGAAUUCCCGGUGUAGCGGUGAAAUGCGCAGAUAUCGGGAGGAACACCGGUGGCGAAGGCGGUUCUCUGGGCCUGUACUGACGCUGAGGAGCGAAAGCGUGGGGAGCGAACAGG